rnacentral:rRNA from 1 species
GACGAACGCUGGCGGCGUGCUUAACACAUGCAAGUCGAACGGAAAGGCCCUGCUUUUGUGGGGUGCUCGAGUGGCGAACGGGUGAGUAACACGUGAGUAACCUGCCCUUGACUUUGGGAUAACUUCAGGAAACUGGGGCUAAUACCGGAUAGGAGCUCCUGCUGCAUGGUGGGGGUUGGAAAGUUUCGGCGGUUGGGGAUGGACUCGCGGCUUAUCAGCUUGUUGGUGGGGGAGUGGCUUACCAAGGCUUUGACGGGUAGCCGGCAUGAGAGGGUGACCGGCUACAUUGGGACUGAGAUACGGCCCAGACUCCUACGGGAGGCAGCAGUGGGGAAUAUUGCACAAUGGGCGGAAGCCUGAUGAAGCAACGCCGCGUGCGGGAUGACGGCUUUCGGGUUGUAAACCGCUUUCGCCUGUGACGAAGCGUGAGUGACGGUAAUGGGUAAAGAAGCACCGGCUAACUACGUG